rnacentral:rRNA from 1 species
CCUACGGGAGGCAGCAGUGAGGAAUAUUGGUCAAUGGGCGCGAGCCUGAACCAGCCAAGUCGCGUGAGGGAUGAAGGUUCUAUGGAUCGUAAACCUCUUUUAUAAGGGAAUAAAGUGUGGGACGUGUCCUAUUUUGUAUGUACCUUAUGAAUAAGGAUCGGCUAACUCCGUGCAAGCAGCCGCGGUAAUACGGAGGAUCCGAGCGUUAUCCGGAUUUAUGUGGUUUAAAGGGUGCGUAGGCGGCCUUUUAAGUCAGCGGUGAAAGUCUGUGGCUCAACCAUAAAAUUGCAGUUGACACUGGGGGUCUUGAGUAUAUUUGAGGCAGGCGGAAUGCGUGGUGUAGCGGUGAAAUGCUUAGAUCUCACGCAGAACCCCGAUUGCGAAGGCAGCCUGCCAAGCCAUGACUGACGCUGAUGCACGAAAGCGUGGGGAUCAAACAGGAUUAGAUACCCCGGUAGUC